UUUCUUGUUUUUGCAAGUGGAUGAGGGGAUGAUGGGUCAGCCAGGGAAUUCCAAGAAUUGGGGGAAGUUCAGGGACUGAAAUGUGCUGAACUUUAUUGUCUUGCGGAGCCCUUAGAUCGCUGCUUCCAGAAGGGUGAAGACAGAGGAGACCCAGCAGUAGUCUCUCUGGAACGACCUUGCGUUGCCAAAGGAUUUGCAGCGCCGGGGCUGUUGCCACGUCCAUGAAGUUGUCUCUUCAGGAACUGCUGACAAGAGCGCAUUGGAGCAGAAUCCAUUUGUCUGUCUGGGGCAUGUGCAGCUGAUCAGCUGGUUAGCUAUACAAAGAACAGGCAUUUCAACUUCCGGGCAUCUCCACACAGGCCACCUUUUACUUCUGCCAGCCAACCCCACAGAAAGUGAGGCAGUUGCACUGCCCCAUUCCAUUCGAUAUCUGCUGUGAGACUGCAGAAGUGCACCGCAUAGGUACCCUGCCCUACCGGAGUUUCUGCGGAGCAGCCUUGGCUUUUGGAGCCCGGUGCGGAUCGUUGGAUGUUACAGCCACGGACUGGAGGAAAGGACUCCAGUUCAACAGCACCAGGCUGUCCAUCAUGGGGGAGGACCCGUCUAGUGCUUCUCCCAUCAGUAGGCUGAAGCCCAAACUCACCUUGGACAAAUCAGAGGCACAGGUCUGGGGGCACGUCAGAAAAAGGAACAUAAAGCCCAGAACCGCUGGCAGGACCCAUCAAAACGUUCUGGCAGGGGAACAUAGGACCCUGUUCAGGGCAGGCCACUUCAAAGCAUUCCUGGAGUGCAAUGCUGUCUGCAUGCAGCUGGUCGACUUGUUCCUGGAGUAGCUGGUUCACUAUGGUCAGCUAUGCACCCCAGUCCUGCUGCCUGACGGUGGGCUGCCCAUUCAGGUGAGUCCGAUGAUUCCAGAGGCAGUGGCUGGGCUGCUGGGUCCAUUCCUCUCACGGCAGACCCAUUCCUGCAGUUACAGUGGUCCAUACAAGCUGUCAGGGCCAGGGCGUGGGCAGCUUGGCCUAGCAGUUAGUGUCAGGCGCCGGCUGAGGGGUCAGGAGCCAUUUACCAGGAAUCAGUCGGGGUUGGCAUGCCAGGAGAUCAGAAUCGAGAGACAAACAGAGGGCAGGGAUCAAGAGUCAGGGAACUGGGAGGUCAGGAUCAGAAGGCAGGAAACGGUAUAUACCAGGCUAGCAGUCCACAGCAGGGUGAAGCCCACUUGUACAGACAACUUCCUGUUGCCUCUUCUGGCUUAAAUAGGGGCUAUGGACCAAUCAGGACCCUUGGAUCUCUCCCAAUCAGACUGUAGGGGUGGGGCUUGUGCCACGGUUGGGCUUCAUGGACACCAGUCCCAGCUGCUGUCUGUGAGGGCUGCAUGGACGACUGGAGACGUGAUGACUCCUAGGACCCCCAGGCAGUGCUGGGUUGACAGUGGGGCCAGUGGCGCCGGGCCCAUGCUCAGAAGGGGCCCCGGCCUGCUCUGCUUGCACUGCGCCCUGAGACCCCACCAGCCCGCAGGCUCCCCCUGGACCCCUUGGCAGAGGGCUCCUCUUCACCCCCUGGCCCCACCCGCCAGCUCCUCUCUGCCCCCUGGGCAGACCCCAGUGUACCUCCGGCUCCGGGCAGUCUCUGCUUCCCUCCAUCUGUGGGGCCCGCCUGUCUCCCUGGAGCCGAGCCGCCUGGGACUGGGGCAGAAGCCUGACCAGUCUCGGCCAGUUGUGGGGGGGGACAGUGUGGGGGCCUAGGCUGGGCCCCUCCAGGCAAGUGAGUCCUGAGGGAGCCGGUCUGGGACAGGCCCUGGCCUGGCUGAUCGCACCACUCCCGAGGGGCCGGAGCGAUUCCCCAGCCUGGGACCAGCCCUGGCUGCAGCUGGCAGCUCAGCCCGGCAGGCGCAGUUGCCUCCCAGAGGGCUGACAUUCGAGGGCCUAAGGGCUGCUGGCUUCCUGCCCAGGCCAACUGCCUUGCUGUCCGCCAGACACGGGUGACAACGGGGCGUAUUGCUGACCCAGCGCCUUUGCCAGAGGAGUGGAGGAGACCAGCUGCGAAGCCUGGAACCCUCCGGACGGGAUCCAACGCUGAUGCCCACCUGCCCUUGACUGCACACAGCAAUCCCCUGGGAGCGGCUCUCUCUUGCAGUCACCGUGGGAUGUGGAAAAGCUGAUGCCGCUAGUAAUACACCUCAUGUAACAGGAAGGAUGACUGGGAGCUCCCAGAGGUGUGGUUCUCCUCCCUGGCUUUCCAGCCCUUGUUCUUGAGCUGCUUAAUCCGCUUACUGCUGCCGGCCUCUUGGCUAGUUCCCGCUAUGCGUGGUCAUUCCAGGAACCCAUGCUGAAGUCAAACAUUUCGCUGGCCUGGCACCAGAGAUUCACGGAAAUCUGGCCGUGCUCCCGCGACCAGGGAGCAGCACGCCUGGUAAAGGGCUUCUUCGUGUCAGUCGGUGGCCGUUGCAAACACAGGAGGAGGCUCUCUCGGCUUGCCGCUCAGCGGCCACAAUAAAAUGGAAGGGCUAAAUACAAUGGGUUAAACCAGGUGCCUGCUUCCAUUUUCUGGGAGUCAACUGGCCAGUCUUGGGAUAGAAAGAACAAAGGGCGCAAUCCCAGGGGAUUGUGGGAUGGCAUUGGAAGGCCAUUAGGACCCCAGCCUGGGGGGGCCCAGUCCCAAGCCCGAGAUGAGUCCACACCACAAAACGAAGGAAUUUGGACCCUGAGACCUGCAGGGCAUAGGCGCCGACUCUGUGGGUGCUCCAGGGCUGGAGCACCCAAGGGGAAAAAAUGGUGGAUGCUGAGCACCUACCGUCAGCCCCCCCAAUCAGCACCUCCCCCUCCCUCCCGCCCUGUGCCUCCCGCCCACAGCAAUCAACUGUUUUGCGGCAUCAGGAGGCUCGGGAGCGGGAGGAGUGAGGACGUGGUGCUUGGGGGAGGGUCAGAACAAGGCGGGGCAGGGGUGGAGCGGGGCCGGAGACAGGGCAGGGGUGGGAAGAGGCAGGUGGGGCCUUGGGGAAAGGGGUGGAGUGGGGGCAAGGCCUGGGGCAGAGUCAGGGGUCGAGCACGCCCCAGCACAUUGGAAAGUCAGCACCCAUGAUGCAGGGGCUUAGGCUUGAACCCACCUGGAGCCCUGGCCUAGAAUUGUGUGUAGACAGAAGGGGGGUUUGGCUGCAGCCUGAAUCUGAGUGGCCUGACAUGCAGUGUAGCCACGCCCUGUGUGGGUGUGACCCCCACUGCAGCCUUUCCCUUUGUGCUGUAGCCUCCAUAUUGGCCUGGGACAGCCAAGGCGGGCGGGAUACAACCAGUCUCUCCUGCCGGUCAGUCUGUACUGCACCCCUGGGUGCUCACGAGGGUGGGACAUGGCCAGGAGAGGGUGGGACACGGUCAGGAGAGGGACGUCCAGAGCCAUCCACUCUGGUUGUCCCUCAGUUAUUGGCCCCAUCCACAAGAACAAGGAACACGUAUCCCUGCUAAGUCAGCUCCCCCUGCUGUGGUAUGUGCCAGCCCCCAGCCGGGGGGCCCUGUGCUCCCUAGGUGGCAACAAUCGGGCUGCAAACUCCUACCCUUAUGUUUGGGGCGCCCCCUGCUGUCCAGACGCAGAAUUGCAGUGGACUUGGCCUCUCAUUCUCCCUGUGGUGGCUACUUGCUUGGACUCAGGAUAGUCCCAGCCGAUCUCUUCUCUGGACUCCCUGGCUGCGCUGAGGCCUCCAGGCACGUCACACACAGUGCAUCCCCUUCCGGGGGUUAGUCCUAAGCCAAAAGGUCCCUGGCCCCUCCUGGGCUUGCCUCUGAUCCUUCCCCCUUUGUCAGGGGGCUGGCCAGGCAGGCUAUCCCCUGCAGGGAGCCUACCCUCUAACCUGACUUUCCACCCCUCAUGGGCAUCCACAAACCCUCGCUCGGGGUUCCCCCACCCGCUAGGAGCUCCGCCCCAAGGAAUGAACCCUACCCAGAGCUCUGUCCCAGCCAGGGCCAGUCUUAAACUGCCAGCCCUUCCUCCAGGCCUUUCCCCAGUGCGUGAGAACCCCCCCUAGCGCCUCUCCUCCAGCACAGAGCUCUCUCUCAGCUCCUUGUCCCCGCUAGCCCUGGCUCCUCCCGCCCGGGGCAACCAGUUAAUUAACACCCAUCCCUGAUUAGGUUUUCUCACUUGCCUUACAGGUGAUGGGGAUGAAGCCAUGAGCACUAGGGUGGGUUAGGCCAGCAGUCUGCCAGCCGGGGGACUGGAUUUGGGAAGGAGAGGACGCAGGGAUCUCUGCACUGUGGGACCUGUUCCCGUGCAUCUCACUGUGUGGAAAGCCUCUCUCCAGUGCAGUCCGUCUGUGUGACCGUGUUGCUGCGCAUUUAGAACACCCCCCUUAGCACAGUGCUGGGGGGGGCCCUUGGAGACCGUCUCCUACGAAGCCGGGGCUCUGCUGGGGGGCCAGGGUCUGGGCUGAGAGGAGGCU